UUUGCUUCCCCGGGGACUAGCAUUGUGAAUGGUCCUCAACUCUUUAACUCAAUAUUUGAUGGAUGCAUGAUUCUAUAUAAUAUACUAUGGAAAAACUGAUGAUAGAGUCAUUCACUAUGCUGGUCACACUGAAUAAAACAUUUGAACCAUCAUGUUAACAAAGCAAACAGGCAUCUGUGACAUGUGAGAAGAUUUGAAGUUGCCCAGGACAGAGCCCCUACUUAGAAGAUAUCUCCCAGCAUCUCAGAAGAGAAGAUGUGCUCUGAGAAGACUUCCACGGUGGAUAUGGCCUCGCCUUGGGCUCUGGCUCUGUUUCCAAACUUGUCACACAGACUGGUGCAUGAGCACCCUUGGUACUGCCCUUGUCUGUCAAGCUGGGCCACAGAUGUGAGAGUUGGACUGUGAAGAAGGCUGAGCGCUGAAGAAUUGAUGCUUUUGAACUGCGGUGUUGGAGAAGACUCUUGAGAGUCCC
ensembl:lncRNA